CGGACCCGGGAGGUGGGGUGUUCCCGGGUGAACCCCCAGGCUGCCAGGGCCUUCCCCAUCGUGGACCGGGGAGGUGACGGGGGGAGCCCAUUGUUUCCUGGUGGAGACAGAUAUUCAUAAGUAAUCUCACAGAUCUAAGCAUCAGUGACAGCAGCAAGGCAAGGUAAGUGAAGUGACCGUCCAGCUCCAAGAGUUAGAGCAGGGGGUUUGCACCAGCCUGGCCUGGCUGAGGCGCUUUGGGAAGGUUUCUCUGCAGAAAUGCCAGCUGGCCUGAGAGCUGAGGAGAGAAUAGAUGCAUUGGUGGGGGAGCCAUGGCUCCCUGUGCAAGGCCGGAGGUGAGGCUGGAAGGCAGAGAGCAGGGGAUGGGCUCCAAUGGGAGAUGUACCUAGAAAGGCGGGCAUAGGCCUCCAAGGCCAAGGUGAGGAGGCUGGAUUUUCUCUUGCUGGUACUGGGAAGGCUUCAAAGGGUCCUGAGCAGAGGGGGAUUUUCAAGGAGUCCCUCUGGCUGCCAUAGGGAAGAGGCAGUGGGGACCACAUUGAUUUUUCAGAUCAGCCAAAUUCAUAUCAGUAGGAGAUACAACUUCAUUUUUUUGUUUAGAUUUAUAUUUAUUUAUUUAUUUAUUUAGUGCCAGGUCUCAGAUGCGGCAUGGCAUCUCUUAGUUGCGGCAUGCUGACUUCUUAGUCGCGACAUGUGGACUCUUAGUUGUGGCAUGCAUGCAGCACCUAGUUCCCCAACCAGUGAUCGAACCUGGGUCCCCUGCAUUGGGAGCGCAGAGUCUUACCCACUGGACCACCAGAGAAGUCCUGAUACACCUUCAUUUUAAGUUUCUUUUAUAAACCCCAUUCCAGUGCUGGUGGUAGGAACUUCAUCUCAGUUGUCUGGGGGUCCUCAUGGUCUCUGGAUCUCAGGCCACUGGUGACAAUGGCUUUGUCCUGCUGGCCUGGCCACAAGGCCCCUGAGCCCUGUGCUGCUCCUGGCUACGGCUGAGCCUUCUUUCUCUGCUCUCAGGCUACGGGGUGGGGACUCCGAAAGGCUUGGGGACCCACAAACUCUUGGGGAGCAGGAGGUUUACAGGGGAACCUGGGCCUCCCUGCUUCCUGACCUGCCGCCUCUGGGUGGUUCUCAGGGACCCAGGGACGGUGAACAGUCUCCUUCUCUGCUCCCUUUCCUCUUCCCCAGCACCCUGCAGCCUUCAGGAGGGUGCUUUCUGUCUCUGUUUGGCCCUGUUCCCUCAAGGAUUGUGCUUUGGAAUUGCAGAAACCAAGGACUCACUCCCAGCUUCUCUGGGAAGCUGCUGUCGGCCUUUCCCUGUAAUGACAAAUGCCUCCCUGACAGAACAGAGUACAGGAGAUGGGACAUCAUCUAAGCCAUCUUCUUGUUCAGACUGUUUAAUCUGAGUCAUGAGAAAACAGAAAUCUAAAUUAUGUAACAUUCUCUAAGAUGCUUGGAUACUUAAAAAAUGUCAAUGUCAUGAAAACAAAAGUGGGGAAACUGUUUCUGAUUCAACGAGACUAAAGAGACAUGAUAACUGAAAGCAGCGAAUGAUCCUUCACUGGAUCCUGGGUGGAUACAAAGGAAAAGCCAUGGAGGACAUUGCUCGGGCACUUGGAGUAUGGCCCUGCUUUAGCUGGUAUUAAUGUCUGGGCACCAAGUGCCCUCCUGGGUAAGGGAGGUGCUUGAGGGUCACUCGUUUGUUAAAUUAGAGAGUAAUAGUGGUAUUGUGCUCAUGUAGGAAUAUCCUUAUUCUUAGGUGUCGCUUGGUGUAUUUGGGGGUGAAGCAGCAUGCCCUGUGCAGCUUAUUUUUAAAUGGCUCAAGGUGAGGGGGAUGUUUGUGUAUGUCCCUGAGAGGAACAAUGCAAAUAUGGCAAAAUCUUGACAGUUGGUGAUUCUGGGUAAAGGACAUUAAACUAUUCUUUCAACUUGGGGAGGGUGAGCCUCUCCUCUGCUGCACCAGCAGGGCUGGGAGAGGGGGCCCAGGUACUCUGAUACAGGGAGUGCAGAACCCUCCCUGAGACCCUGAUCUAACCCUCAAGGCCCCUCCCCUGCUGCCGCAGAAACACUCAGGCUCUGAAGGGGUAAGGGUCCACCCAGUUCCCCGAGGCCCGUCAGGAGUAGAGCUGGGCUGCUCACUGGUCAAGUCCAGCGUGACUGCCUCCUGUGUUCACUCACACCUCUGAGUAUCUGGCUCAGUGACCAGGCAACCUGAAACCCAUUCACUUACCUUCGAGUCACCCUCAGCCAUGUCUCAGGGCAGGGGUAGGUCCAGGAAGGUGCCAGCCCCAGGAGUUAACCUGAGCCAUCCACGGUCACUGGACGCUCAGCCACCACUACCAGGAUCUAGACCUGAGAGCAGAGCACUCCUAGCGCAGGGGGUCUGGCUCACAGGCUUCAGGUGAGCUCACGAGCGGCCCCUCUGGGGAAGGCAGGGCAGCCCGAACAAAGUUCCUGGGAAGGUAGUUCCCCUGGGCUUGAGGUCACCAGCACCUCCGCUGCGUUGUGCCAAGGGAGGAGACCAGGUGCCUGCAGCUCGGCCGGGCCCAAGAACUUUCUGAAACACAUGUUCUGACCAGCAGACAUGGGCACCUACGGUUCCUCCUGUCCUCCCCUGCAUCCCUUCCCCAUCUCCCAAAGCUGGUUAAUACCCACUGUCCUUCAGCCUUGACCUGGGUUUGGCGGAGCUGUCAUGGGUUCUCACAGCCUCACUGUGCUGCAUCUCCUUUUCUACCAUCUGCUGUAGACUGGAACUCACCUAUGGCAUGUUCCGUGUCUCCCCCACCGGGGCGUGAGCUCUAUGAGCAAGGUAGGUGCUCAGGAAGUGCAUCCAGUGCAUGUAACUGUCACGGUGCGGGCAGCUGCUGGGGUACCGAGUGCCCCGUCCUGGGUGAAGCGCACGCAGAGUCGGGGUCUACGGAGGGGGCGUGAGUUGUCAGCGUGGGCAGCCCAUCUCAGCUCCCAUAUAGCAACGAUGAAGCAUUUAUCUCUCUGGAGGAAGCUGCAGGCAGAUGUUACACACUCAUCUUUCCGAGAAGGGAACCGAGAGCUUAGUUUUCUUGCCGGGGGUCACAGAGGUGGUGCGUGAGAGCGCUGGUGUUACAGUUUGCACUCGUCAGCCUGUCUCCAAUGAGCUGCCACUUGGAAGGGGUCUGGCUGUCUCCUGGGGCGUCCACUCCACCCGCCUCAUCCCAGCCUGGCCCGUCCCACUGCAAUAACACCAUGAGCCCGUGGUGCACGUUACCUCAUUUAUUCUCACAACAUGCCUGUGAGGUAGGGAGGGGCGGGGACUGUCCCCAUUUUACAGAGGAGGAAGUUGAGGCACACAGAGGUCAAGUGACUUGCCCAAGGUCACAGACGGCGGCCAAGCUGGAAUGGGCCCUAGAGCAGGCCCACAGUUCACCCGGGGCCCCUGUGGCAGGUGCUGGACACGAGGACGUCUCCAGUGCCGCAGCCGUGGCCACAGGAGAGAAGCCCUCGUGCACGGAGCUUGCUGCGGGCCUGGCCUCGCCCUCUCCCUCCCUGCCCCCCACCUCACCCUGCAGGCCUGGGCCAUUGCAGCUCAGGGCUCAUGACACCCUGGGAGUGGGGCUGGGGGGCAGGGGAGAGAGAAGGAUGACCGGGGUAAAAAAAUAGAAAACUCAGAGGCCGGGCAGAUGGGCCCAUGGCCGGGGAGGGGGGGGGUCAGGUGAGAGACAAAAAAAGGGGGGGCUGCUUACACACAAGGUAUAUAUUUUUACACACACUUGUACACACACCUAGAUAUAGUACAUGUAAAAAUAUAUGCUAUUCACACACCCGCCUCCUGCCAGGUGCCCCCGAGAGCCAGCGGUGGCGCUGGUGGGCAUGGGUGAGCAGAGGGGCGUUUGUUAAAUAUACACUCUAAGGUCUAUGUGCAUAUGUACACAUACGUACAGACACAGCCGCCCGCCCCUCGGGUACUGUACACAGGCUCGGCCAGGGACACAUGACCCC